AGCGCUGUGCAGACAUCAGUGCAGUGUAACUAAAGGACAGGCGAUGAUGCAUGGACUUUAUUCAGUGCGGAAAAAAAGUUUAUGCGAUGUGCUUUUCCUCAGUGAAGUGAGAUAUGGGGUAACUUAAAACGGUAGAACUGCAUUUUUAUGGCGGUCUCUAAGAAGAGUUUUGGGAUGCUUGAUCUGUGGACAAAACUCAGUUCCUCUCUCAGUGGAGGAAACAGCGCCAUCUUUUAGUCAGAGCUCUGUACGACCGUGGAACUACGGCGAGGCUGCAGUGUUCAUGAGAACUACUUAAGAAGACUUGGAUGGAGAUGAAGAAAAAACUUUAUUUUUCCAGAGAUGGUGGACUGGCUCCCUUGAAAUAAUGAAACCUCUGUAACAAUGUUAUGACAGGACCUGAUGUCAAGAGCUGGGACAGUUGCUGGUGCUCUCACUUCAUGUGAAGGAGGAGUUCUGGACUCUUAGGUUUGGUUUGGACCAUGCAGAAAAGCAUAAGAGCAGAAUCCUGUCUGUUUGUGGGUAAUAGGGAGCCCUGGUAUCAGGUUGUUUUCCCCAAGAUUUGGCCAACAGUGAUUAGAUUUAUGAGGUCAAAAAUCAAAACAAUAUUUCAUUAAUUCAUCAUCGCAAGCAAGAAUAUUAAUCUGGACUGAUAUGGAGCACACAGCUGAGUGUGAUUUACAUUACAUAUUAAAAGUUAAACCAGAGAAUUGCUAAAGCCAGUGAGGAAGUUUGUUUGGGAAGAUCUCCAUUUUAUCAACCCAUUCACAGUUUGAGUGUAAUUAUAGUGUACAGUUACAGUGUUUUCACAUUUAUUCUGAUGGAAAGUUCCAUUUUGAGGAAUAUUCACUUCACUAUAUCUUUCAUUUCAUAAAUAUUCUUCGCUCCUCAAUUUCUCUGAGAUUAUGGCAGUGAUUAUGUCAGAUAAGCAGUGCUGGGUAGAUUAAUUGCAAAUUGUAGUAUAAUUACUUGAUCACACGGAAAAAGAAAAAUGAUGUAGAAAUUUUACACUUUUAAGCAAACCCAGACUGUGCUGGCAUGGUGACUCAGUGGUUAGCACUGCCACCACACAGCUAGAAGGUCACUGGUUCGAGUCCCGGCUGGGUCAGUUGGCAUUUCUGCAUUGAGUUUGCAUGUUCUCCCAUGUUGGCGUGGGUUUCCUUCAGGUGCUCAGGUUUCCCUCACAAGUCCAAAGACAUGCACUAUGGGUGAAUUUAAUAAACCUAAUUGGCCAUAGUGUAUGUGUGAAUGAGGGAGUGGUGUUUCCCAGUGAUGGGUAGUGGCUGGAACGGCAUCCGCUGUGUAAAACAAAAAAGUUUUUUUUAAAUGUGAAACCUUCAAAUUAAAAAUAUGAAUAUAUUUGAAAUGAAUUGCUCUCCUAAUUUUCAGUGAGCGUUAAGAUGAUUAUAUUUAAAAUGUUUCAUCAGACUGCUGAAAAUGUAAAGCAGUAUGAUUUUGUAGAAAUAUUUUAAACGAUGAAAAUAAGAUUUAGCAAAAUCACUAAAUUAUGAUCAAUUUAUUACCUUUGUAUGAUAAUAUCAUCAUAAUAUCAUGUAAUGCACAAAGUAAUUAAGUUUACUGGUGCACACCAAAUUGGUCACGUACGUUCAAAUCAGCUAAGACAUAGCUUGUGCUUGCAGAGGAUUUGACUGAAUGACAAAUGUUAGUACUGUCAUUGUAAAUAAUUGCGUAUAUAAAAAUCACAUGCAUGAUUGUACUUGUUUACUAACUGAAACGGCUGUAAACAAGAAAGGGAUCUGUUUUGGCUCGAAUGCAUAACGUGAAUGCAAAACGGUGCCUAAUGUAAAUUUUCUGCUUUAGCACUUAAAUAUUAAAUGCAAUGUUUGCUUUGUUUUAAUACUUAUUAUAUCAAUAAGCAAUUAUCCAUGAGCAUCCUUAUUGACAUUUUUGUUGAUUCAAUUUUAUUUUCAGUUUAGCAUUAUUAUAUUCAGCAUUUUAGCUUUUUUUACGCAAACAGCAGACGUUUUGGCAAAAAGGAUGUUUUUGUGUUACACUGUUUGGAUUUAAUUUGCCUACCAGUCUGUGUCAAUAAA